rnacentral:snoRNA from 1 species
AUCCCAUGAUGAGGAUAGGCGGCGACAUAUUCCUGGCUUCCUGCAGCCUUUCCCAAGCUUCAGGAGCUAUUUUGAACCUCAUUUGCUGAAAGCCGGAUAUUCUUCCACAAAGAGC